rnacentral:snRNA from 1 species
CGAUUUCUCCAUAGGUUGAAUU